rnacentral:rRNA from 1 species
AUUGAACGCUGGCGGCAGGCUUAACACAUGCAAGUCGAGCGGGGUGAUGGUGCUUGCACUAUCACUUAUCGGCGGACGGGUGAGGAAUGCUUAGGAAUCUGCCUAUUAGUGGGGGACAACAUCUCGAAAGGGAUGCUAAUACCGCAUACGUCCUACGGGAGAAAGCAGGGGAGCACUUGUGACCUUGCGCUAAUAGAUGAGCCUAAGUCGGAUUAGCUAGUUGGUGGGGUAAAGGCCUACCAAGGCGACGAUCUGUAGCGGGUCUGAGAGGAUGAUCCGCCACACUGGGACUGAGACACGGCCCAGACUCCUACGGGAGGCAGCAGUGGGGAAUAUUGGACAAUGGGGGGAACCCUGAUCCAGCAACGCCGUGUGUGUGAAGAAGGCCUUCGGGUUGUAAAGCACUUUUAGUUGGGAAGAAAAGCUCAAGACUAAUACCCUUGAGUGAUGACGUUACCAACAGAAAAAGCACUGGCUAACUCUGUGCCAGCCGCCGCGGUAA